CCUACGGGUGGCAGCAGUGAGGAAUAUUGGUCAAUGGCCGCGAGGCUGAACCAGCCAAGUCGCGUGAAGGAAGACGGCCCUACGGGUUGUAAACCUCUUUUGUCGGGGAGCAAAGCGAGUCACGUGUGACUCAUUGAGAGUACCCUAAGAAAAAGCAUCGGCUAACUCCGUGCCAGCAGCCGCGGUAAUACGGAGGAUGCGAGCGUUAUCCGGAUUUAUUGGGUUUAAAGGGUGCGCAGGGGGAUGUGCAAGUCAGCGGUAAAAUUGCGGGGCUCAACCCCGUACUGCCGUUGAAACUGCAUCCCUUGAGUGCGCGAGAAGUAUGCGGAAUGCGUGGUGUAGCGGUGAAAUGCAUAGAUAUCACGCAGAACUCCGAUUGCGAAGGCAGCAUACCGGCGCGCAACUGACGCUCAUGCACGAAAGUGUGGGUAUCAAACAGGAUUAGAUACCCCAGUAGUC
rnacentral:rRNA from 1 species